rnacentral:rRNA from 1 species
AACGAACGCUGGCGGCAGGCCUAACACAUGCAAGUCGAACGCUCGUAGCAAUACGAGAGUGGCAGACGGGUGAGUAACACGUGGGAACCUUCCCUAUGGUUCGGAAUAGCUCAGGGAAACUUGGGGUAAUACCGGAUAAGCCCUUCGGGGAAAGAUUUAUCGCCAUUGGAUGGGCCCGCGUCGGAUUAGCUAGUUGGUGAGGUAACGGCUCACCAAGGCAACGAUCCGUAGCUGGUCUGAGAGGAUGAUCAGCCACACUGGGACUGAGACACGGCCCAGACUCCUACGGGAGGCAGCAGUGGGGAAUAUUGGACAAUGGGCGCAAGCCUGAUCCAGCCAUGCCGCGUGAGUGACGAAGGUCUUCGGAUUGUAAAACUCUUUUGGCGGGGACGAUAAUGACGGUA